UGCGGAAGGAUCAUUACCGAGUUUUCGGGCUUCGGCUCGACUCUCCCACCCUUUGUGAACACACCUCUGUUGCUUUGGCGGCUCCGGCCGCCAGAGGACCUUCAAACUCCAGUCAGUAAACGUCGACGUCUGAAAAACAAGUUAAUAAACUAAAACUUUCAACAACGGAUCUCUUGGUUCUGGCAUCGAUGAAGAACGCAGCGAAAUGCGAUAAGUAAUGUGAAUUGCAGAAUUCAGUGAAUCAUCGAAUCUUUGAACGCACAUUGCGCCCCUUGGUAUUCCGAGGGGCAUGCCUGUUCGAGCGUCAUUACAACCCUCAAGCUCUGCUUGGUAUUGGGCUCCGUCCUCACUGCGGACGCGCCUCAAAGACCUCGGCGGUGGCUGUUCAGCCCUCAAGCGUAGUAGAAUACACCUCGCUUUGGAGCGGUUGGCGUCGCCCGCCGGACGAACCUUCUGAACUUUUCUCAAGGUUGACCUCGGAUCAGGUAGGGAUACCCGCUGAACUUAAGCAUAUCAAUAAGCGGAGGA
rnacentral:rRNA from 1 species